ensembl:lncRNA
AUGCAGUGUGGAUUGCUCUGCUUUGCAUUAGAACUGAGGUAUGCUGCCUGCCUCAUACCAUGCAGUUUACUCUGGAUUCAGCUGAAUAACCAGCAGAAUUGGCUCAACCAGGUAGCUGAUCAAGGACUGAAACGCCCAGCAGCUACUGCAGUACACAAGGAAGACUCUGGGUCUGGAUUAUGAGAGCUAAUCAAUGACUGGUGUAUAACUAUGUGAGAGGCCUCAGAAAAGCUCCUUCCUGUAGACAAUCUUCAAAAGACAGAGAAUUCUGCUUCUGCACUCCUCUAGGACUUCAAUGAUAUCUUCAUAGCCUUAAAAGGUUAGUAGACAGAAGGUUAGCAGGCUCUGGAGAGGAGUGGGAGUGCCACAGCGUGGGAAAUGGCUUUUAAAUUUCCGCAUCGGAAUCAGCUCUAACAUUACGGUCAUAACUCCUGAUUUUUUCUUUCAUAACCUAGCCCUUGAGCAGCUGUAUCCAAUAAUCUGGAAUUUGCAGUGUUUACUGUACUUGAAAGAACACCAUGCCAUGAAAAAGUGUUUUGAGCAGAUCACUAAAUCAUUCUUAUGUUUGACUAUUCUGUGUUAAAAUGAUUCCUCACAAGUAAUAUCCCCAGGGUGGGGGUUGGAAGGGCAGAGCCCAGCUGGCCUCCAGCCUCCAGUCAGGGAGCAGGGGAGGCCGGGAGCAGCAUCAGCCAAGAGUUUGGGUCAUUGAGCAAGUCUGUAGUGAUGAGACAGGUCUGAGGUCAAGCCAGAAAUGCAAAUCAGCAACACAAGGUCAGGGUCGGGCCCAAUAAGGGUAACCAGGUUCUGACACAGCCCAGCAGCCUGACUUAAAUAGACCCAUGGUUGUUGGGGUUGACACUCCAGCUGAGCCUGGUCAGGGCCACUAAGGCCCAUUAGUGCCCUCAGGACCCUCUUAAGGCAGUUUUGAUCUUGAUAUGGUAACUUUGGUGGGACUCCUCCUGAACUAUAUCCUCUGAUUCUCCUCCAGUGUUAAGGGAGACCCUAAAUGCUCAGUCUGAAUACUGUAAAAUUUAUUAAGCACAUAUGGCAAAUUAGACAUUUGCCCCUUUGCGGAUCUAGGGUCUCAACUAGGACACUAGGCCAGACAGCUGCAAGUCUUUAAACCAGACCUUGGUCUUAACCAAUGUGUGACCUUGACUAUGUCAAUAUUGUGCAGUUUCCUGAAAGGCUGUUGGUACUGUUUGCCUUGGUCUUAACAUUGGUGAUGAAAAUCAGGGUAUUAUAUUCUCUUUGUGGCUGAUUCUGCAGUCAAAGGGAACCUCAUAAUGAUACAGAGUUCAUCUUACUCUGCUGUGGGGUGCUCUUGCAGGGAUUCCUGAGCUGCCUUCACAGCCACUGUGUUGUUUUGGGCCUCCCACGAGUGGGAAAUGUGCAGACCUUGAAACUGUGGAUGUUUUCAAGACCUUUCUUGGCUGUCAGUGCCUUGGCCUUUGCCUCCACCUUGGAGGACUCGGCCUCCUUAGACUGGGGCACCAUCAUCAACAAGUGGAAGUGAAAUCAGAAACAAACUAAACUGGACUCUCACAUACUCUCUCUCUGCCCUAAUCUUGGAGAUGGACAAACUCAGACCUUGCCAACAAGUGGCCUGGUGCCACUUGCCUGUCUGAGGCUCUGGUGGGAGCCCUUGUAGUAGAUGCACCUGCAUGAUGGAUCCAUGACCUGCUCACAAGCUGCACCACCAAGUGUGGGCUCCUGGAGCUGGGGAGAAGAGCGACAAGGCUGUGGGGGAGUUUAGGAAAUGUUCAACACCGUGGUGUGACAGUUAUCCUCUGAUCUGUGCCCUGACGUGGGAGGAUGCGUGUUGGGUGAUCUGGUGUGCAGGCUGUGUUCCAGAAGUCUGCUGUGUGGAUGUCGCUUAUGCCAAAUAUGUUGUCAUUAAGCAAUCACAGCCAGUUUUGUUGACUGGAGAUGGCUGCUUUAAUGUUAAGUAUCACAGAUUUUUUUUUUUAAGAAUCCAGGGUAAAUAUCUUAAUUGAAGUCCUUAGACAACAUGUACAAUUAGCACCCUGACAGCUGUAGCGAUCUGUUUAUGCUUUGAGCUCUGUUACCUGUCUAAGCAUAACUUGUCUUGAGAAACAGCUGCACAGAAAAAAAGGCAGCUAUUUCAGAAUUUUUCAAUUCUCUGAGCAGUGUUGAAUGAAAUUGUAAUUUGCUGUUGUGGUUUCUUACUGCUUAUUAAAUAAAGUCUUCCGAUAAUCAUGAUUGUGAUUGUUG